AACAAUGCGAAGGUCAAGUGGAUAUAAAGAUCACUGGCCCCAAAUUGGAAGACAUCUUUUCAAAUAGAAAAGGAACUAUAGAAUGUCAUGUCACAAUAAAUAAGCCAUCUGUCGAAAAGAUAUUCUGGGAGGACCACAACGGAAAGGAAAUGGCUGAUGCCUCAAUGACCCCCCCUAAAGGAAGUAAAGGCCCAUUCACCCUGCCACUUGAAAUCUCUUAUGAUGAAUGGAGCAAGGGGGUGAAACGCGUCUGCAUUGUUGAACACACAGAGGUGAUUGACCAAGUAAAGCAACUCUAUCAAAGGAGAAAUGUUAGCCAGGAGUGGAUUUUCCCAAGUCCAGGACAUCCGGAGUUCAUGAUUAAAAUGGACUACCAGUGGAACAGUACCAUCGAGGCAGAAGAUGACAUGGGGAGAAUAGCCCUCACCUUCAUCCUUCUCUUCAUCAUCACUCUGAUGUUCACCAUUGCAACCACUGCUUUCAAGGUUAAAUGAAACAAGGAGAACUUUCUGUACAAAACUGUUUUUCACACAUUUUUCUUAUAAACUCAUAGUUUGAUGUAAGUAAUCACAGCUGUCCUUUUUUCCAUUCUUAUUACAAGAGCUUUAUGUAAUUUUGAAAAUAAAUGUUUAAAUGAACAUAA